UCUUAGUGGCAUCUGGGGUCGAGGAGGGUGACUGUCAGCCAGUUGGGGGACAUUUUCUUCUUGGUCCCUCGGCUCCUGCUUCCCUGUGAGCUGGGCAGCCUCAGCCCAGGUCCUGUCCAGUACUCAGCUGGCCUCGGCGCGCACAGCACAGGCUUGAGUGCAGCCGCGGGGGCAGGCAGAAGCAGGUUCCCUCAGAACAGCUGAGUCCAAAGGGUCAGAAGCCACAGCCCCUGUCGAGGGCUCUGGGGCAGCCAGGGGAGCUGCUCGUGAGUUGUCUCUGGGGCAGAAGGAAGAGACCUUCACCUGGGCUGGCACUGGGCCUGGGUCCCCAGUCUCAUGGGGAGCUUAUCCUGAUUAUACCUGCCUGGCUGUGAUGGCUGAGGCCGGACUGCGGAAUGCAAGGCUGCCUCAGGCCUCCAGGGCCGGAGCCGCAGGGAGCUGCUGAGUUUCCACAGGGCCACGGGGGCUGCGGCCAAAUGGAGCGGGGGCACAGGCGGGGACACUGAGGCUGAGCUCACAGCCAGGACAGGGACAGCAGAGUCACAGCCGAGGCCAUCUGCCCCACAAGGGAAGCAGCGCCCGCCUUCCUUGGUGGUCGGGGAAGACUGGACUGGCCCCUUGGGUCCCCACCAGCCUCAACCACUGUGGGUUCGUCCAACUUCAACUGUCAGGAGAGGUCGGGCCGAGGCCAGGAGGCUCAGCAGCUGGUUCCAUGACUUUCUCUUUGCCGAGGAGGUCAGGACAGAAGCUUCUAGUUGACAGGCCGCUCAACUUGGUAUAAAACAGAAAAUUUCUGUGCCUGUGCUGCCGGGCUGUGAAUGAUUUCUCGUCUGUUUCAUGAGACUCAACUUCAGCCCAGGCAGGCAUCAGAUGCGGCCGGGCGAGACGCGGAGCCAGGAGUCGUCCUCGCCC